rnacentral:rRNA from 1 species
AUACGGAGGGUGCAAGCGUUAUCCGGAAUCAUUGGGUUUAAAGGGUCCGUAGGCGGACUAUUAAGUCAGAGGUGAAAUCCCACAGCUCAACUGUGGAACUGCCUUUGAUACUGGUAGUCUUGAGUUAUAUGGAAGUAGAUAGAAUGUGUAGUGUAGCGGUGAAAUGCAUAGAUAUUACACAGAAUACCGAUUGCGAAGGCAGUCUACUACGUAUAUACUGACGCUAAGGGACGAAAGCGUGGGGAGCGAACAGAAGUAGAAACCCCGGUAGUCC